GGGGGAGCGCCGGAUCCUGGGCUGUGUCCCCAGCGCCCUGGGCGCCCGAGCCUUCGCUGUUGGAUUCGUGCUCCUGGCUGUGCAGCCCCCU
rnacentral:pre_miRNA from 1 species